rnacentral:misc_RNA from 1 species
GAAAUGCGAUAAGUAAUGUGAAUUGCAGAAUUCAGUGAAUCAUCGAAUCUUUGAACGCACAUUGCGCCCGCCAGUAUUCUGGCGGGCAUGCCUGUUCGAGCGUCAUUUCAACCAUCAAGCCCCCGGCUUGUGUUGGGGACCUGCGGCUGCCCGCAGGCCCUGAAAACCAGUGGCGGGCUCGCUGUCACACCGAGCGUAGUAGCAUACAUCUCGCUCUGGGCGUGCUGCGGGUUCCGGCCGUUAAAAGCCUUUUUUACCCAAGGUUGACCUCGGAUCAGGUAGGAAGACCCGCUGAACUUAAGC